rnacentral:rRNA from 1 species
CUACGGGUGGCUGCAGUCGAGAAUCUUCCGCAAUGGACGAAAGUCUGACGGAGCGACGCCGCGUGCGGGAUGAAGGCCUUCGGGUUGUAAACCGCUGUCAGUGGGGAGGAAAUGCAUCAGGGUUCUCCCUGGUGUUUGACCGAUCCGCAGAGGAAGCGCAGGCUAAGUUCGUGCCAGCAGCCGCGGUAACACGAACUGCGCGAACGUUAUUCGGAAUCACUGGGCUUAAAGAGUUCGUAGGCGGCCUUUCAAGUCGGGUGUGAAAUCCCUCGGCUCAACCGAGGAAUUGCGCCUGAUACUGUUGGGCUUGAGGGGGAUAGGGGUGAGCGGAACUGAUGGUGGAGCGGUGAAAUGCGUUGAUAUCAUCAGGAACACCGGUGGCGAAGGCGGCUCACUGGAUCUCUUCUGACGCUGAGGAACGAAAGCUAGGGGAGCGAACGGGAUUAGAUACCCCAGUAGUC